rnacentral:rRNA from 1 species
AGAGUUUGAUCCUGGCUCAGAACGAACGCUGGCGGCAUGCUUUAUACAUGCAAGUCGAACGAGAAAGUUUCUUCGGAAACGAGUAGAGUGGCGCACGGGUGAGUAACACGUAGGUGACCUGCCCUGUAGAGAGGGAUAACAGGAAGAAAUUCCUGCUAAUACCUUAUAACCUGAGAGGAGAUGAAUCUUCACUCAGAAAAGAUGGCCUAUCGUAGAAGCUAUCGCUAUAGGAGGGGCUUGCGGGACAUUAGCUUGUUGGUGGGGUAAAGGCCUACCAAGGCAGUGAUGUCUAGCCGGUCUGAGAGGAUGAUCGGCCACACUGGAACUGAGACACGGUCCAGACUCCUACGGGAGGCAGCAGUAGGGAAUAUUGCGCAAUGGGCGAAAGCCUGACGCAGCAAUGCCGCAUGAGGGAGGAAGGUUUUCGGAUUGUAAACCUCUGUCGGUGAGGAAAAACAGCAUGUAUGAGAAUAUUGUACAUGUCUGAUGGUACUCACAAAGGAAGCACCGGCUAACUUCGUGCCAGCAGCCGCGGUAAUACGAAGGGUGCAAGCGUUGUUCGGAUUUACUGGGCGUAAAGAGUAUGUAGGCGGAUUUAUAAGUCAGGUGUGAAAUCUCAGGGCUCAACCCUGAAACUGCGCCUGAAACUGUAUAUCUAGAAUCUCGGAGGGGGUAGGAGAAUUUCCUGUGUAGGGGUAAAAUCCGUAGAGAUAGGAAGGAAUAUCUGGGGCGAAAGCGCCUACCUGGACGAGAAUUGACGCUGAGAUACGAAAGCGUGGGUAGCGAACAGGAUUAGAUACCCUGGUAGUCCACGCUGUAAACGAUGAACACUAGUUAUUGGGAUUAUUGACUUUUUCAGUGACGAAGCUAACGCAUUAAGUGUUCCGCCUGGGGAGUACGGUCGCAAGAUUAAAGCUCAAAGGAAUUGACGGGGGCCCGCACAAGCGGUGGAUCAUGUGGUUUAAUUCGAAUUCCACGCGAAGAACCUUACCUGGGUUUGACAUCCCACGAACUGUCUAGAGAUAGACGGGUGCCCUUCGGGGAAUGUGGUGACAGGUGCUGCAUGGCUGUCGUCAGCUCGUGUUGUGAAAUGUUGGGUUAAGUCUCGCAACGAGCGCAACCCCUAUCCUUAGUUGCCAGCAUUAAGUUGGGCACUCUAGGGAGACUGCCAGGGCAACCUGGAGGAAGGUGGGGAUGACGUCAAGUCCUCAUGGCCCUUAUGUCCAGGGCUACACACGUGAUACAAUGGUCAGUACAAUGGGACGCCAACCCGCGAGGGGGAGCAAUCUCAAAAAGCUGAUCUCAGUCCGGAUUGGAGUCUGCAACUCGACUCCAUGAAGUUGGAAUCGCUAGUAAUCGCGGAUCAGCAUGCCGCGGUGAAUACGUUCCCGGGCCUUGUACACACCGCCCGUCACACCAUGGGAGUUGGCCCUACUUGAAGACGUGGCCCUAACCGCAAGGGGGGGAGCGUCUACGGUGAGGUUGAUGACUGGGGUGAAGUCGAAACAAGGUA